GUCUACAGCCAUGCUAUCCUGAACAAGCCCGAUCCUGUCUGAUUUCAGAAGCUAAGCAGGGUUGGGCCUCAUUAGUACUUGGAUGGGAGACCACCUAAGAAGACCAGGUGCUGUAGGCG
rnacentral:rRNA from 1 species